rnacentral:rRNA from 1 species
ACUCCUACGGGAGGCAGCAGUGGGGAAUAUUGCACAAUGGGCGCAAGCCUGAUGCAGCCAUGCCGCGUGUGUGAAGAAGGCCUUCGGGUUGUAAAGCACUUUCAGUCGUGAGGAAGGUAGUGUAGUUAAUAGCUGCAUUAUUUGACGUUACGCAANAGANACCGCCGUAACUCCGUGCCAGCAGCCGCGGUAAUACGGAGGGUGCGAGCGUUAAUCGGAAUUACUGGGCGUAAAGCGCAUGCAGGCGGCCUGUUAAGUCAGAUGUGAAAGCCCGGGGCUUAACCUCGGAAUUGCAUUUGAAACUGGCAGGCUAGAGUCUUGUAGAGGGGGGUAGAAUUUCAGGUGUAGCGGUGAAAUGCGUAGAGAUCUGAAGGAAUACCAGUGGCGAAGGCGGCCCCCCUGGACAAAGACUGACGCUCAGAUGCGAAAGCGUGGGGAGCAAACAGGAUUAGAUACCCUGGUAGACUGU